rnacentral:rRNA from 1 species
GUCCACGCCCUAAACGAUGUCGACUAGUUGUUCGGAAGGGUAACUUUCUGAGUAACGCAGCUAACGCGUGAAGUCGACCGCCUGGGGAGUACGGCCGCAAGGUUAAAACUCAAAGGAAUUGACGGGGACCCGCACAAGCGGUGGAUGAUGUGGAUUAAUUCGAUGCAACGCGAAAAACCUUACCUACCCUUGACAUGCCUGGAAUCCUUGAGAGAUCAGGGAGUGCCUUCGGGAGCCAGGACACAGGUGCUGCAUGGCUGUCGU